GGUCCUGUGUGAUUUAAAGGACAUAGUAGAACUUGCUGUUGCACCUCUUCAUACUGAGGACUCUAUUUCUUAUUUAGACUUCAAGAUAUCUGAACACAGGGCAGUAUUCCAAGAGGUUUUCUCCCACGAAAGAAUACGGCCCAAACAUCAUUUUCUGGAGCAUUAUUCCCAGUUGAUACGCCAGUUUGGCCCCCUGGUUGCACUAUGAGAUAUGAAGCCAAACAUAGCUUUUUCAAAAGAGUGAUCUGUCAUAAGAACUGUUAUAAAAAGGUAUUGAGUUCAUUAGCCCAGAGGCACCAAUUUCAGACUGCAUAUAAUCUGCACAUGUCUGAAUUUUCUAAACCAUCUUUGGAGGUUACUGACGUUUCAACCCUUUCCCUUGAUGUUAUCAAUCAAGAUAUUGCACUAGCAGUCAAAGAGAAACACCGACAUAUGGACACUGUGAACCUUGCAAAAAAUGUAUCCUACAACGACUGUAACUACAGGACUGGAAUGGUGGUAGCCCAUGGGUCUCUGGCUGGACUUCCAGAGUUUUGUGAGAUAGUUCAUAUGAUGGUUCUACAAGAGACACUAAUUUUCAUCAUCAAAAAACUGGAUGCCUGGCACCUAGAGCAUUAUCGAGCUUAUGACUUGGUCAUAUCCACCAAUAAACAACUACAGCUUGUUGGGAUACAAGAAAUGACUGAUCCCUACCCUCUGACUCACUACAUGGUUGGUGGACGGCACAUCAUCUCUCUGAAGAGAUAUAUACAUGCAUAAGGUUGUAUACGAAUGGGUGUAGGUUUGGAAAUGUAGAAUUCUUUAAAAGGAGCUUUUGUUUUAUCAGUUUAAUUGUCAGAAAAAAUACAUUUUGCCAAGAAUGUCCUGUUCUUGGCAAAAUAAGAUCUAUGUUGUGGCCAAUUAUGUACUACAACUAAUACUAUUAUUUUUUUUACUCUCAUUUUUACUAGAUACUUUUGGGUGGACUGACACGAUGGAGAGAAGGCCAGCUAAGCUUAGGGUUAUCUUGAAUCCUGAUGACACCAGGAAGCUAAUUCUGCCUGGUGGUAUUCCAGAGACAGUGGAGGAACUCAUCAAUCAAGUGAGGAAAGUGUGUGGAUUAAAUUGCAAAAUUAGACUGCAGUACCAAGACAGAGACUUUGGAGAUACGCUAGUGAACUUGACAUCUACUGCUGAACUUGAAGAUUUUGCAACUAUCAAGGUCAUUCCACCAACUGAUGAUGGCCAAACCAUCCCUGUCUGUGAUGAUUUGGUGUCCACUGAAACCGAUGACACAGAGCUCCUGUCCUUGCCCUCAAGCUCUAUCUCUACAAGAACCCAGAUGUGGCCAAAGGAGUUUCCCAUCCCAACAUUCUCCUAUGAUAUGCUACUGAGCUCCAGUUAGAGAAGGGAAAUGCAGUGUAUAUCUCCUCCAAGACACCAUUGACUCCAAGUCCUAAGACAUUAUCAGACAUUCUGAGAAAGGUAGCCGAAGAGAUUUACAAGUACAAACCGUACCCAACAGAUGCUGACUUUAGUGAUGUAGCUGAAGUGCUAAUUAAGAAGCAUCCGUGCCUCUGUGAACUCAGUUCAUACAAUGGUUGCUACGGAUGGAAACAAAGGCUGAAGACGAAAAUGGGCAACUACUGUACUCAGCUGAAGGGCAUCGGAUGUGCUGAAAUCCAAAGCUCCAGAUGAUACAUUGCCUGCAAAAAAAGUCAAGAGACCUAGGAGAGGAGAAGCCAACCACAUACCUGACAUUCCAACUGGAGAGACUGUCACUUUUGACAGAAGUGAGGAAGCGAAACAAUCGUGCAGUGAUAAAGAACAAAAUGGACAAGACCUUUUCACUGCAAAGGCAGGAAAAAGGCAAAGGAAUCAGGAGUGGAGGAGGUGAAAGAGAGAUAGCCUGCAUUGUUUACAGUGGAUGAGAAAUUUCCACCACAACAUCAAUGCUGAAUUCAUGAGAAUUACUACUGUUCCACUUCAACCACGAUUUCUGGCUUCCUUGGACAAGCACCACAGCAAGCUGAUUGAGAUCAUCAGGAACAAGGGAGGAGCUGUCAGAAGACCCAGGAUGUGCUGAAAGUUCUUGAUCAGUCAAGUUGCAUAGGUCGACAGCAUGAUUUUGCAUUGUUUAGCCUAAGGAGAGUGUCUGCUGAAGUGCCUCAACCUUUACCUUGGGGAAGAUGUACAAAAACUCAUCAAGGAGUUUCUGGUUGGUGAGAAUGAUGAUGCCAGAAGACGGCUUCACCAGUGCACGAUGGCAGCGUUUGUCUUUAGAGAGGAGGAGGAUCCAUUACAGCCACCACAUGACGUAGGCAUCAUCACUGAUGGUGUGGAGGUGCCAAAUUAACUGCCAUCAGUUGCACAUGGUUGUGCCCUCUUAUUUGGCCUCAUAUGCUCUGAACUUGAGCUAUCCAGAUGAGCUCAAACACACGUUCGAUGCACUGCAGAAAAUAUUCAAGGGAGAGAGCCAAAGAAAAUGACAUGCAGAGUGUGCAGUCUUAGUGUCAAGCUCUAAAUAAGGGGUUGGACAGCAUUAGAAAUGAAACCCUGUUUGGAUUCAAAGCUGUUUCUGUUAUUUAGCAUGACCCCUGAUAUUCUCCAUUAAAGGAAUAUUCCGGUGUAAGAUUAAUCCAUGGUCUAACACACCGUGACACCAAGUAGGACCCCCC